rnacentral:rRNA from 1 species
UACGGAGGGUGCGAACGUUGCUCGGAAUCAUUGGGCGUAAAGCGCACGUAGGCGGCGGCGUAAGCGGGAUGUGAAAGCCCCGGGCUCAACCUGGGAACUGCGUCCGAUACUGGAUGGCUUGAAUCCGGGAGAGGGAUGCAGAAUUCCAGGUGUAGCGGUGAAAUGCGUAGAUAUCUGGAGGAAUACCGGUGGCGAAGGCGGCAUCCUGGACCGGCAUUGACGCUGAGGAGCGAAAGCCAGGGGAGCAAACGGG